rnacentral:lncRNA from 10 species
GAAAAAAAUAAUGAAAGACAUACAGAUUGGAAAGGAAGAAAUAAAACUGUCACUAUUUGCAGAUAACAUGAUUGUUUACUCAGAAAAUUCCUAGAAGUGAGAAGCAAAUUCAGCAUGGUUGAAGUAUACAAGAUCAACACGAAAACAGACCCACACAAAUAUGCCUGCUGGAAUUUUAAAAAAUAAAUCUGCAAAAGCAAUUCAAUGGAGGAAAAAGAACCUUUCCAACAAAUGAUGCUAUAACAAUUGGGUAUCCACAGGCAAAAACUGUACCUCAACCUAAACUUCACAUCUCAGAAACAAAUUAACUGAAAAUGGAUCACAGAUACAAUGUAAAAUGUAAAACUAAACUCACUUUUAAAAUUAAAGAAAAUCUUCCAGAUUUAGGGCUGGGCGAAAGUUCUUACACUUGACACCAAAAGCAAGAUCCAUAAAAUGAAAGAUUGGUAAAUUGAGUCUCCUCAAAAUUGGAAAGUUUUCCUCUGCAAAAGCCCAUGUGAAGAGAAUGAAAAGACAAGCUAGAGACUGGAACAAAAUAUUUGCAAACCAUGUAUCUCACAAAGGACUUUUCCUAGAAUAUAUAAAGAACUCUUCAAAAUGCCACAGUAAAAAAUAAAAACAAACCUCUAAUUAGAAUAUGGGCAAAACAUGGGAACAGACAUUCCAUGAGAAAAGAAAUAAAGAAAAAGAAAAGGGUAUACAGAUGGCAAAUCAGCACAUAAAAAGAUGCUCACUAUCAUUACCUUAGCCACCAGAAAAAUGCAAUUUAAAACCACAAUGAGAUAUUACUUACCUAUCCGAAUGACUAAAAUAAAAAAACAGUGACACCACCAAAUGCUGCCAAGUGUGAAGAAAAAAAUUGAUCACACCUACAUUGCUGCUGGGAUUGUAAAAUGGCACAGGCAAUCUGGAAAAGAGUAUGGUAGUUCUUACAAAACUAAACGUGUGCUUACCACAUAACCCAGCAAUUGCCCUCUUGAGCGUUUAUCCCAGAGAAAACUUAUGUUCCCACAGAAACCUGUACAUGAAUGUUCACAGCAGCUUUAUUUGCAACGGCCAAAAUCUGGAAACAACCCUGCAAUAAGUCCUUCAAUGAGAGAAUGGUUAAAUAAUCUACCGUCGUGGUACCUCCAUCCCAUGAAUACUACCCACUAAUAAAAAAGAAUCAUCUAUUGAUAAUACAUAAUAAUUGGAUACAUUUCAGGGGAAUUAUGCUGAGUCAAUAAAGACAAUCCGAAAAUACUACAUUAUUGUAUAAUUUCAUCUGUACAACAUUCUUGAAACGACAAAAUUGGAAAAAAUUGAAAGUAGAUUAGUAGUAGUCAGGGAUCGCCACUCACCCUCCAGGUAGGUGUGGUUAUAAAAGGCAAAAAGAGGGAUCCUGUGAUAAGUUCGGUUCUGCAUCUUGACUGUGGUGGUAGUUGAAUUUACACAUGUGAUAAAAUUGUAUAGAAUUAUUUACACACACACAGAGGUUGAAGGAGAGAGAAAUGAGUACAAGUAAAACGGGAAAUCUCAGUAAGAUGGGUGGGGUUAUACCAGUGCUAGUAUCCUGGUUGUGAUAUUGCACCAUAGUUUUGGGAAUUUUUACCACUGGGGGAAACUGGGUAAAGGGUGGGUGCACAGGAUCUCUCUGUAUUAUUAUUAUUUUUUACAACUGCACGUGAAUCUAUGAUUAUCUCGAAACAUUUAAAUAUGUAUUUUUUAAUGUGUGAAUACUACUGGGCUAUAUAUUUUUAAAAAAUAAAGUACAAUCGUCUUAAGAACGCAAAGGCCAAGGGGCAGAAGGCUAUUUCUUAAAUUUUAAGAAACCACCUAGUUCACAGGUGCCACCUCCUCACUUUGCUGUCAGCGACGUGAUGUGCUCUGCAGUGCUGGAAUUGAGAGUUCAAGAGAGAGAUACCGGUCCUGGCCUCUCGGUGUUCAGGUGUGUGUAUAGGUGGGCGUUGGUGUGAGAACGAGCGAGAGAAAGCGGGAGCAAGAGCGAGAGCUAUGCCUCCCUUAGUGUCAGGGAGGGUGGCCGGCUGAUGAAGGUGCUGUGCAGAAAGCCGGGGAAGGGCUUAAAGAGGGUGCUGGCGCCUCGGGAACGCCCUCCCGCUGCACCCUACAGGAGGUCGUGGGCGGUGGCUUAACAGCCCCAGUGCAGAGCUUGAACCCCACCGUCCAGAAGGAAAGAACGUGACCCCGUAGACGGAUGAACUCGGAAUCGGCAAAACCCGCCUGCCCUUGUCUAGUCUCUCUGCCCCACCACACCACUGCCCUUCACUGCGGACUGCGCCGUGUGCGCUCCGGGACCGCCCCUGCACCUUUGCCCACAGCUUCCCAUUACCAAGGCAGCCGGAGGAAGACCUUUCCGAGUUACCUGUCUCACGUCAGCAGCCACACCGAGGCGGUCCCCCUCGCACCACUCCCCAAGUGCAGAGCCCCUGAAAGUCCGAGGCUCCUGUGCCACGCACCCUCCCCCCUGCGGGGCGACCCCGCGUAUGCGUGUGUGUGUCACGCGUUUAAUCGCACAGAGUAAUUCCCAGACGUGCAAGACAAAGCAUUUCAAGCAAAGAUGGUCCAGAGUUCAAAUUGGAAAGCACAUCUCGAGGCGCUGAAUCUGUUCUCGCCGUCUGCCUCGGUCUCUGGGGCGUCGCAUCCAGGAGAAGGGUUUUAACUCCCUGCCAGAUCCGCUCGGAAUUAGCUCUUCUGGCGGUGCAGCAACAAGUGGCCCCGCCGCCUCCCUUGUGCACUCGGAGGGACUACAUCCUCCUCCUCUCCCAGCCCCUAGUCCAAACGGGAGUAGGUAAUGGCGGGGAAAGGGGGAGGUGACGAGAGCGGGGAGAAGGAAGUACAUAUUUUUUAAUUGUGAAAUUGUCUGUCUGCGUGCUGUGCUCUGGGAUUCUCUUGUCUCAAUCAACUUCAAUUUUAACGUGGCCGUAACGUUAAGAUUAAGACCUAGAAAUGAAAAC